CCUACGGGAGGCAGCAGUGGGGAAUAUUGGGCAAUGGGCGCAAGCCUGAACCAGCCAAGUCGCGUGAGGGAAGACGGCCCUACGGGUUGUAAACCUCUUUUGCCGGGGAGCAACGGGCGCCACGUGUGGCGCCACUGCGAGUACCCGGAGAAAAAGCAUCGGCUAACUCCGUGCCAGCAGCCGCGGUAAUACGGAGGAUGCGAGCGUUAUCCGGAUUUAUUGGGUUUAAAGGGUGCGUAGGCGGAGCGUUAAGUCAGUGGUAAAAUUGAGGGGCUCAACCCCUUCCCGCCAUUGAAAGUGGCGCGCUUGAGUGGAAGAGAAGUAUGCGGAAUGCGUGGUGUAGCGGUGAAAUGCAUAGAUAUCACGCAGAACCCCGAUUGCGAAGGCAGCAUGCCGGCUUCCUACUGACGCUGAAGCACGAAAGCGUGGGGAUCGAACAGGAUUAGAUACCCUUGUAGUC
rnacentral:rRNA from 1 species